UCUCCAGUAUAUAUUUGGUGUUUUGGGAAAAAGAAAAAAAAAAGAAAAAAAAAAAAAAAAAGGCAUAGCAAGCUGCCACAGAGCUGUUUUCGUAGCCAGUUUUGUGGAGUAAUCUGCGAAGCCAGAGGAAAUUGGACUCAGUCCAUAAAUAAAGGCUGCUGCAGCAUGUGCUCGUCUCUGACUUCUUCUUGAAAGCUGUAUUUUUAUGUAAUGUGAUACAAACUGGAUGUUUCUGUGAAGAACGAAUGCAAGAACUGACGGAGUUUGACACAGGUAGCAGAGGGGGUUCUGGCAGUGAGCAAGAAGCAUUUGUUUCCACCUCAUCAGAGAGAACAGAAUCAGAAUUGUGGAAUCACAAGUUGCCUGAGGUUGGAAGGGACUUCUUGAGAUUAUCGAGUCUAACCCCCUGCUCAUGGAGGGUCAGCUAGAGAAUAUUGCCUGGGACCAUAUCCUGUCAAGUUUUGAGAAUCUCAACAGGUGUAAACUCCACAAAAAUUCUUGGCAAUCUGUUAUAGUACUGGAACAUCCUCAC